UACAGAGGUCUCAAGCGUUGCUCGGAUUCAUUGGGCGUAAAGGGUGCGUAGGCGGCGCGGUAAGUCGGGUGUGAAAUCUCGGAGCUUAACUCCGAAACUGCAUUCGAUACUGCCGUGCUUGAGGACUGGAGAGGAGACUGGAAUUUACGGUGUAGCGGUGAAAUGCGUAGAUAUCGUAAGGAAGACUAGUGGCGAAGGCGGGUCUCUGGACAGUUCCUGAUGCUGAGGCACGAAGGUCAGGGGAGCAAACGGG
rnacentral:rRNA from 1 species